UACGUAGGGUGCGAGCGUUGUCCGGAAUUAUUGGGCGUAAAGAGCGUGUAGGCGGCUUGGUAAGUCCGCUGUGAAAGUCCAGGGCUCAACCCUGGAAAGCCGGUGGAAACUGUCAAGCUUGAGUCCGGAAGAGGCGAGUGGAAUUCCUGGUGUAGCGGUGAAAUGCGCAGAUAUCAGGAGGAACACCAAUGGCGAAGGCAGCUCGCUGGGACGGUACUGACGCUGAGACGCGAAAGCGUGGGGAGCAAACAGG
rnacentral:rRNA from 1 species